UCGGGAAUUUUGCGCAAUGGGCGAAAGCCUGACGCAGCAACGCCGCGUGAGGGAUGAAGGCCUUCGGGUCGUAAACCUCUGUCGGGAGGGACGAACGAUCAGCGGGUGAACAAUCCGGUGGUCUGACGGUACCUCCAAAGGAAGCGCCGGCUAACUCCGUGCCAGCAGCCGCGGUAAUACGGAGGGCGCAAGCGUUGUUCGGAAUCACUGGGCGUAAAGCGCGUGUAGGCGGCUUGGCAAGUCGGGUGUGAAAUCCCGGGGCCCAACCCCGGAACUGCACUCGAAACUGCCUCGCUAGAGUCCCGGAGAGGAAGGCGGAAUUCCCGGUGUAGAGGUGAAAUUCGUAGAUAUCGGGAGGAACACCAGUGGCGAAGGCGGCCUUCUGGACGGUGACUGACGCUGAGACGCGAAAGCGUGGGGAGCAAACAGGAUUAGAUACCCCCGUAGUCC
rnacentral:rRNA from 1 species